GCACAGUUUUAUUGGGGAUAGAAGAAGGGUGAAAAACUCUCCAGAAAACCCAGAGAGGAGACAUUACACCUCCUGUUUGGAUACUGUCUGAAGUCACAGAU